ACAUUAUUCGUAUACACUCUACCAAACCACCCCUUAUUUCUUUUGCUAUAAUCGAUGAUGCAAUUUCUCUCUGAGCUUAAACCUACAGCUUUUUAUCGCUACAAUCGACGAUGCGAUUUCUCUCUUAGCUUAAACCUACAGCUUCUCAUCGCUACAAUCGACGAUUAGGGAUGCAAAAUUGCUAACAUCGCUAACAACAGUCUCUACAAUUGCUAUAAACGAUUCAAUCUUGUGGAGAUGAUCUGGUAGUAAGCUUCCGGUGGUGAGCUUUGUGGGAUUUACUGGUGCUGCUUUGAAAAUUGAUUUGUGUUGGAAAGUCAGACCGAAUUCGCACUUCAAUUUCUCUCAAAUUUGUACUUCAAUUUCUUCAAUUUGGGAAUUUUAAGAGUUGUUUGCUCAAACCAAGUAUAAAGAGGCUGCUGAGCUUACUGAGCUUGGCGGAAUAAGCCCCCCUGCUCACAUGGUCUUUACUAAAUCAGAUUUUAGUCGCAGGUACUGAGGCGCAGUCUAGGGGUCCAGAUCCUCUGUAGAGUCUACAGACAAGGUUGUCUCAGAGUUCAGUUGGUGAGCCUUCUUUGCUUCGAAAGGCCUAGUCAUUCAGAUAGACAGAGGGCGUUCUGGGCCUUCGGGUUCGGGAAUGCUCGUUACGGCCAAGGAUCCGGUUCGGGUCGUGACAAUUAGCAUACCUACUGGAGAACUGCCCACGUUUGGAGUUUAUUCUUGAUUGGUGUCAGGAACUUUGCAAAAUCCAUGGCUAUUCUAUUCAACAGAAUUCCAAAAAAUUGUAUCCUCUCUAAUAUCCUUAGAGACAGCACAUACCAGGUUGAAUCAUGAUUUUGCUGAUAUAUGCAACUCUAAUUUAUAUCGACUCCAAUAUUUGUGCUCUGCAAGUCCUGCAAAGUGAUAGUUCUCUUUGCGUUGUUGCUUUUUGGUGAGAAACAAGGUCUUGGAGUCGAGGGGACAUAUUUUUUCUUUGGUUGGUAGAGGAAUAGAGAUUGUGUGGAGUUUGGGGCUUUACUGGGCAACAAUGGUGUAUGAUUAUUUGGUGGGCCAUAAUGAAGAAGUUGUUCCUUUCCGUGCUCGACGACUGAGGAAGCUAUUGUGUGAUUUGGGACCUUCUUUCAUCAAAGCAGGACAGUUUUGGUGUUUUUAAAUAUCUAAAGUUCAAGAACAAUUGAUUGUUAUAUUCUUUAUGGUCGAGUAUUGCUCUGCUUAGAAAGUGUGAACUUCGGAGUCUUUAACUGGAAAAUGAUUCUAUUCUAGUAUGUGUAGCCAAAGAAGAUGUAUAAUGGCAGUUAACCAUGAAACGAACUGUUAGCGGGAGAAUACACAUUGUGCAAAUAUAGUAGAAGACUGUAGUAAUGCUAUAAAUUGCUGAAUUAUGGAACAAUGAAAAGCAUUUAACA